GACCCUCGCAGGGGUAGAGGAGUCGACCAUGAGCUCAAGGGAGUUAUUUUAAAGGAAGGACAGCUACAGUAAUGCCACCCAUAUCUCAGAAAUGAAAAAUGAAGACCAACCAUCUCACAGAGAGGCUAAAAUAGAAGACGACAGAAAAUGGAUCCUAACAAUGACACAAAUGGAUAACAUGAUCAUACUGAACGAGGCAAAUAAAAACAGAAUUUUCUCCUAGACCAG
rnacentral:lncRNA from 1 species